GACGAACGCUGGCGGCGUGCUUAACACAUGCAAGUCGUACGGUAAGGCCCUUUCGGGGGUCCACGAGUGGCGAACGGGUGAGUAACACGUGAGUAACCUGCCCACAACUUUGGGAUAACGCUAGGAAACUGGUGCUAAUACUGGAUAUGUGCUCCUGCUGCAUGGUGGGGGUUGGAAAGCUCCGGCGGUUGUGGAUGGACUCGCGGCCUAUCAGCUUGUUGGUGGGGUAGUGGCCUACCAAGGCGGCGACGGGUAGCCGGCCUGAGAGGGUGACCGGCCACAUUGGGACUGAGAUACGGCCCAGACUCCGACGGGAGGCAGCAGGGGGGAAUAUUGCACAAGGGGCGCAAGCCUGAUGCAGCAACGCCGCGGGCGGGAUGACGGCCUUCGGGUUGUAAACCGCUUUCAGCAGGGACGAAGCUUUUUGUGACGGUACCUGCAGAAGAAGCACCGGCUAACUACGUG
rnacentral:rRNA from 1 species